rnacentral:rRNA from 1 species
CGUAGGUGGCAAGCGUUGUCCGGAUUUAUGGGUUUAAAGGGUGCGUAGGCGGUCCCAUAAGUCAGUGCUGAAAUAUCCCGGCUUAACCGGGAGGGUGGCAUUGAUACUGUGGGACCUGAGUAAAGUUGAGGUUGGCGGAAUUGACGGUGUAGCGGUGAAAUGCUUAGAUAUCGUCAAGAACACCUAUUGCGAAGGCAGCUAACUAAGCUUUAACUGACGCUGAGGCACGAAAGUGUGGGGAUCAAACAGGAUUAGAUACCCUGGUAGUCCACACUGUAAACGUUGAUUACUCGCUGUUGGCGAUACACAGCCAGCGGCCAAGCGCAAGCGAUAAGUAAUCCACCUGGGGAGUACGCCGGCAACGGUG